UAGGUAGUUUCAUGUUGUUGGGCUUCUGUUUGAUCGCAGUGACAGGAAACUGCCUGAA
rnacentral:pre_miRNA from 1 species